rfam:Myotis lucifugus cont2.19650, whole genome shotgun sequence.
CUUGGGUGGGAGGGGUCCCUCAGCCCAGACUGCGAGAGGGCGCAGGCUAGGCCGAGGGACCCCACCGGUGCACA